GGAGUUGCUCAAACAACCAGGAGGUUGGCUUAGAAGCAGCCAUCCUUUAAAGAUAGCGUAACAGCUCACUGGUCUAGUGAUUCUGCGCGGAAAAUAUAACGGGGCUAAAGUUAUCCACCGAAGCUGUAGAUUCUAUUUUUAAUAGAGUGGUAGGAGAGCGUUCUAGUCAGCAUUGAAGGUGUACCGGUAAGGAGCGCUGGAGCGGCUAGAAGUGAGUAUGCAGACCU
rnacentral:rRNA from 1 species